UACGUAGGGACCAAGCGUUGUCCGGAAUUAUUGGGCGUAAAGAGCUCGUAGGCGGCUGUCCACGUCGGAUGUGAAAGCUCGGGGCUCAACCCUGAGAGGCCAUUCGAUACGGGACGGCUAGAGGUAGGUAGGGGAGAUUGGAAUUCCUGGUGUAGCGGUGAAAUGCGCAGAUAUCAGGAGGAACACCGGUGGCGAAGGCGGGUCUCUGGGCCGAUACUGACGCUGAGGAGCGAAAGCGUGGGGAGCGAACAGG
rnacentral:rRNA from 1 species